GAUGAACGCUGGCGGCGUGCCUAACACAUGCAAGUCGAACGGAUGCUUUCGGGCAUUAGUGGCGCACGGGUGAGUAACACGUGGUUGACCUACCUCAAAGUAAGGGGAUAACGGUCCGAAAGGGCUGCUAAUACCUUAUAAGGCUCCCGGCAGUUUAGAACACUGGGAGAAAAGUUCCGGCGCUUUGAGAGAGGCUGCGA
rnacentral:rRNA from 1 species